rnacentral:rRNA from 1 species
UACGUAGGGUGCAAGCGUUUAAUCGGAAUUACUGGGCGUAAAGCGUGCGCAGGCGGUUGUGCAAGACCGAUGUGAAAUCCCCGGGCUUAACCUGGGAAUGGCAUUGGUGACUGCACGGCUAGAGUGUGUCAGAGGGGGGGUAGAAUUCCACGUGUAGCAGUGAAAUGCGUAGAGAUGUGGAGGAAUACCGAUGGCGAAGGCAGCCCCCCUGGGAUAACACUGACGCUCAUGCACGAAAGCGUGGGGAGCAAACAGG